CCCAGAUAUUAAUAGGGUUUCUGCCAUUUCAAUGUUGGAGAUAAAAAACAAAAAACAACUGUGUCCUUCCAGAUCCCACCGCCUCUGAGCGAUAACUUUGUAACGGCUGCAGUGAACAAUUACAUGAUUUGAACCACUCUUCCCAUUCUCUUUCAUUUCAUCGCCCUCAACAUCUUCCAAGGUAACCGAUUGAGGCUCCUCCUAUAAAUGUGUUUGUUGCCUGCGAUGAACAGCCUCGCCACCACGAUACCAGUAAAGACAAUCUCUGUCAAGCACAGACUCCAACACAGGCGUACACUCUUGCCGAUUUGAAAGCUGGCCUUUGGAUCUUAGAACUAAGCUUUGCAACUCAGAUAGUUCAUGUGGUAAUUGCUGGAAACGCUGUUGAAUUUUUCCGUAAACUGGACAGAACAUGGACUCCAAAGAUCAAUCAAAACUGUAUGAGCCCAUCAAAGAGCUUGAUAUCAUGUUUACACAAAUAGCUGCAGGAGUUUCAGUAGAUAUAAUUCCAGGCCUGAAUGAUCCAGCUAACUUCGCAUGACCUCAGCAGCCUCUGAACAGAUGCCUUUUCCCUGGAUCAGCACCUUAAAACACCUUCAAAUCAUGUAGAAAUCCUCAUUCAUUUGAUGUGGAUAAUAUCAGGGCUGAUAUCAGCAAGCUAUCCUUUCUGCGCGUAGUCUUAAAGCCUCUUCUAAACCUGAUCCUUACAGUAAAAACAAGUUGUUUUAGUCCCUAUUCCAUACUGGUUCUUUUGGAAAUUUUCGGAAUGUUUGGCGAGCUGUCAAUAAACUAUAAACUGACUGGUGAAGCUUUUAAAAAUUAUGAACAAGAUGUAUAUCUCUUGGGAAGAAUGUAUUAAUCUGAGGGAAGUGAAAGUUUCAUAUCUUAUGAAUGAUUGUAUUAAUCUUCUUGAGGAAUCUGAUGUCCAAAAUUGGUGCUUUCAAGUCUUUUCUUGCAUGCCUCAGCGUGGAUACUUCCAUCGUGAUCUAAAGUCAGAAAAUAUGUUCUCUAAAAAUGUCAUCAUUAAGAUCACUGAUCUUGGCGUGGCCUGGGAGGUCCAUUCGAAUAUAUAGAGUAUGUCUAGACACGCUGGUACAUGGCACCAGACGUACCGACUACAGUCAUAUGUGUACACGUCAAAAGUUGAUAUGUGGGCUACGGGUGCUAUUCUGACUAAAGUUGUUGUCUCUUCGCUCUUUCUCUUUCCUGAAGUUAGAUAUUUGUCAAAUAUUGUUUACUUGCAAUUUUCCUGAUAAAAUAGUGUUUCUGAUGUAAUGAUAGCCAGCAAAAUGUCUCUUUAAUGUGUGCAGUGUGAUAGGUAUCCCAACCAAAGAGACAUGGUUGAAGGGGCUAAAUCCUACUAGCGUUAUCGAUUACCAAUUCCCUCAUGUAAUGUUUGCUCAAAUAUUCAACGUUUCUAGGGCAAAAGUAGUGUCACGGAUAUUUACGUUUAUAUCGUUAAUCAUUGUACCAAUAUAUAACAAUAUUUAUGAUUAAACGAGAGCACUAAUAGUGUAUUAUACUAUUAUCUAAAAUAAAAAGGAUUUAUUGAGA